rnacentral:rRNA from 1 species
GAUCAGCCACACUGGAACUGAGACACGGUCCAGACUCCUACGGGAGGCAGCAGUGGGGAAUAUUGCGCAAUGGGCGAAAGCCUGACGCAGCCAUGCCGCGUGUGUGAAGAAGGCCUUAGGGUUGUAAAGCACUUUCAAUUGGGAAGAAAGGUUGUACGUUAAUAGCGUGCAGCUGUGACAUUACCUUUAGAAGAAGCACCGGCUAACUCCGUGCCAGCAGCCGCGGUAAUACGGAGGGUGCGAGCGUUAAUCGGAAUUACUGGGCGUAAAGCGCGCGUAGGCGGUUAGUUAAGUCGGAUGUGAAAGCCCUGGGCUCAACCUGGGAACUGCAUUCGAUACUGGCCAACUAGAGUGCAAGAGAGGGAGGUAGAAUUCCACGUGUAGCGGCGAAAUGCGUAGAUAUGUGGAGGAAUACCGGUGGCGAAGGCGGCCUCCUGGCUUGACACUGACGCUGAGGUGCGAAAGCGUGGAGAGCAAACAGGAUUAGAUACCCUGGUAGUCCACGCCGUAAACGAUGUCUACUAGCCGUUGGGGUACUUGAGACCUUAGUGGCGCAGCUAACGCACUAAGUAGACCGCCUGGGGAGUACGGCCGCAAGGUUAAAACUCAAAUGAAUUGACGGGGGCCCGCACAAGCGGUGGAGCAUGUGGUUUAAUUCGAUGCAACGCGAAGAACCUUACCAGGUCUUGACAUCCAGAGAACUUUCCAGAGAUGGAUUGGUGCCUUCGGGAACUCUGUGACAGGUGCUGCAUGGCUGUCGUCAGCUCGUGUCGUGAGAUGUUGGGUUAAGUCCCGUAACGAGCGCAACCCUUGUCCUUAGUUGCCAGCGCGUAAUGGCGGGAACUCUAAGGAGACUGCCGGUGACAAACCGGAGGAAGGUGGGGACGACGUCAAGUCAUCAUGGCCCUUACGACCUGGGCUACACACGUGCUACAAUGGAACGCACAGAGGGCAGCAAACCCGCGAGGGGGAGCGAAUCCCACAAAACGUUUCGUAGUCCGGAUUGGAGUCUGCAACUCGACUCCAUGAAGUCGGAAUCGCUAGUAAUCGUGAACCAGAAUGUCACGGUGAAUACGUUCCCGGGCCUUGUACACACCGCCCGUCACACCAUGGGAGUGGGUUGCUCCAGAAGUGGUUAGCCUAACCUUCGGGAGGGCGAUCACCACGGAGUGAUUCAUGACUGGGGUGAAGUCGAAACAAGGUA